rnacentral:rRNA from 1 species
UACGUAGGGUGCAAGCGUUGUCCGGAAUUAUUGGGCGUAAAGAGCUCGUAGGCGGUCUGUCGCGUCGGGUGUGAAAACUCUGGGCUCAACCCAGAGCCGCCACCCGAUACUGCUGUGACUUGAGUUCGGUAGGGGAGCGGGGAAUUCCUGGUGUAGCGGUGAAAUGCGCAGAUAUCAGGAGGAACACCAGUGGCGAAGGCGCCGCUCUGGGCCGAGACUGACGCUGAGGAGCGAAAGCGUGGGUAGCAAACAGG